AACAUAAAGAUUCUGAAAAGAAACACAAAGAGAAGGAGAAAACCAAACACAAAGAUGGAAGUUCAGAAAAGCAUAAAGACAAACACAAAGACAGAGACAAGGAAAAACGAAAGGAGGAAAAGGUUAGAGCCUCUGGGGAUGCAAAAAUAAAAAAGGAGAAGGAAAAUGGCUUCUCUAGUCCACCACGAAUUAAAGAUGAACCUGAAGAUGAUGGCUAUUUUGCUCCUCCUAAAGAGGAUAUAAAGCCGUUAAAGAGGCCUCGAGAAGAGGAUGAUGCUGAUUAUAAACCUAAGAAAAUUAAAACAGAAGAUAUCAAGAAAGAGAAGAAACGAAAACUGGAGGAAGAAGAGGACGGUAAAUUGAAAAAACCCAAGAAUAAAGAGAAAGAGAAAGAUAAAAAAGUUCCUGAGCCAGAUAGCAAGAAAAAGAAGCCGAAGAAAGAAGAGGAGCAGAAGUGGAAAUGGUGGGAAGAAGAGCGCUAUCCUGAAGGCAUCAAGUGGAAAUUCCUAGAACAUAAAGGCCCUGUAUUUGCUCCACCAUAUGAGCCUCUGCCAGAGAGUGUCAAGUUUUACUAUGAUGGUGAGUUGUUCCAAGGCUAAUUCUUGGCCAAGA